UACAGAGGUCCCAAGCGUUGUUCGGAUUCACUGGGCGUAAAGGGUGCGUAGGCGGUCGGGUAAGUCUGAUGUGAAAUCUCACAGCUUAACUGUGAAACUGCAUUGGAUACUAUCCGGCUCGAGGAAUGGAGGGGAGACUGGAAUACUUGGUGUAGCAGUGAAAUGCGUAGAUAUCAAGUGGAACACCAGUGGCGAAGGCGAGGCUCUGGACAUUUCCUGACGCUGAGGCACGAAAGCCAGGGGAGCAAACGGG
rnacentral:rRNA from 1 species